AUGAAUAUCCUAAGUUGGAACUGCCGGGGAGGGGGGAAUACCCGGGCAGUUCGUGAGCUAGCGACUCUCUGUCAGUCGCAUUCCCCCACUUUGGUGUUUUUGUGUGAGACGAGGCAGAAGGCAGACAAGUUGAAAAGAAUCCGAGGAAGGUUGGGGUUGAAGGGUUUUUGCGGCGUGGAUAGUAAUGGUAUGAGUGGAGGUCUGGCUCUAUAUUGGCAUGAAUCUUAUGACGUCCAGAUUUUGGAUAAGAAGGAAAGAUACAUUGAUGCCCUGGUGCGAGUUCAACCGGAUGCUGAGCAAUGGAGAGUAACUUGCGUGUAUGGAGAACCCAGAGUGGAGAAUAGACCGGCAAUGUUGGCGGCACUACAGCAUUUGAAGAGUGUUAGUGAUCUGCCAUGGUUAGUUGUCGGUGACUUUAACGAGGCUAUGUGGAACUUCGAGAACAUGUCUGCUACGCCGAGAAACGAAGCACAAAUGGUGGCCUUCACGGACGUGUUGGAGGUCUGUGAAUUGGUUGAUCUAGGCUUUAUUGGAGUUCCAUUCACAUAUGACAAUAAACGUAGCGGUGCAAGUAAUGUCAAAGUCAGGCUGGAUAGAGCGGUGGCAUCCAACGCAUGGAGGAAUUUGUUUGUGUAA
rnacentral:rRNA from 1 species